GACGAACGCUGGCGGCGUGCUUAACACAUGCAAGUCGAACGAAGUGGCGAACGGGUGAGUAAUACGUGGGUAACCUGCCCUCCUUUUUGGGAUAAGCCUUGGAAACGGGGUCUAAUACCGAAUAAAGGGGGAUGGGCUCGCGGCCUAUCAGCUUGUUGGUGGGGUGAUGGCCUACCAAGGCGGUGACGGGUAGCCGGCCUGAGAGGGUGACCGGCCACAUUGGGACUGAGAUACGGCCCAGACUCCUACGGGAGGCAGCAGUGGGGGAUAUUGCACAAUGGACGAAAGCCUGAUGCAGCGACGCCGCGUGGGGGAUGAAGGCUUUCGGGUUGGAAACCUGUGUCGCUAGCGUACGGGUAGGUGGAGCAGACGAGCCGGCUAACUACGUGCCAGCAGCCGCGGUAAUUC
rnacentral:rRNA from 1 species